rnacentral:rRNA from 1 species
CAAAUGAAUAGACGGGGACUCACACAAGCGGUGGAUCACGUGGCUUAAUUCGACGAUAAGCGAGGAACCUUACCAAGGCUUGAAACUCUAAUGAAAUCCUUCCGAAAGGAAGGCCCUCCGAAAGGACAUUAGAGCAGGUGCUGCAUGGUUGUCGUCAGCAGGUGGCUUGAGUUGCUCCCUUAAAUGGGGAAACCUGCGCAACCCUUACCCUAUGUUUUAAAUGUCAUGGGGGACUGCCUAGGACAACUAGGAGGAAGGUGAGGAUGACGCCAAAUCAGCAUGGCCCUUUGAU